CCUACGGGUGGCAGCAGUGGGGAAUAUUGCACAAUGGGGGAAACCCUGAUGCAGCGACGCCGCGUGAGUGAAGAAGUAUUUCGGUAUGUAAAGCUCUAUCAGCAGGGAAGAAAAUGACGGUACCUGAUUAAGAAGCCCCGGCUAACUACGUGCCAGCAGCCGCGGUAAUACGUAGGGGGCAAGCGUUAUCCGGAUUUACUGGGUGUAAAGGGAGCGUAGACGGCAGCACAAGUCUGGAGUGAAAUGCCGGGGCUUAACCCCGGAACUGCGUUGGAAACUGUGCAGCUAGAGUGCAGGAGAGGUAAGUGGAAGUCCUGGUGUAGCGGUGAAAUGCGUAGAUAUUAGGAGGAACACCAGUGGCGAAGGCGGCUUACUGGACUGUAACUGACGCUCAUGCACGAAAGUGUGGGUAUCGAACAGGAUUAGAUACCCUGGUAGUC
rnacentral:rRNA from 1 species